rnacentral:rRNA from 1 species
UGGGGAAUAUUGGACAAUGGGCGAAAGCCUGAUCCAGCCAUGCCGCGUGUGUGAAGAAGGUCUUCGGAUUGUAAAGCACUUUAAGUUGGGAGGAAGGGUUGUAGAUUAAUACUCUGCAAUUUUGACGUUACCGACAGAAUAAGCACCGGCUAACUCUGUGCCAGCAGCCGCGGUAAUACAGAGGGUGCAAGCGGUAAUCGGAAUUACUGGGCGUAAAGCGCGCGUAGGUGGUUAGUUAAGUUGGAUGUGAAAUCCCCGGGCUCAACCUGGGAACUGCAUUCAAAACUGACUGACUAGAGUAUGGUAGAGGGUGGUGGAAUUUCCUGUGUAGCGGUGAAAUGCGUAGAUAUAGGAAGGAACACCAGUGGCGAAGGCGACCACCUGGACUGAUACUGACACUGAGGUGCGAAAGCGUGGGGAGCAAACA